rnacentral:rRNA from 1 species
AUUGAACGCUGGCGGCAUGCUUUACACAUGCAAGUCGAACGGCAGCGCGGGCUUCGGCCUGGCGGCGAGUGGCGAACGGGUGAGUAAUGCAUCGGAACGUGCCCAGUAGUGGGGGAUAGCCCGGCGAAAGCCGGAUUAAUACCGCAUACGACCUGAGGGUGAAAGCGGGGGACCGAAAGGCCUCGCGCUAUUGGAGCGGCCGAUGUCGGAUUAGCUAGUUGGUGGGGUAAAGGCUUACCAAGGCGACGAUCCGUAGCUGGUCUGAGAGGACGACCAGCCACACUGGGACUGAGACACGGCCCAGACUCCUACGGGAGGCAGCAGUGGGGAAUUUUGGACAAUGGGGGCAACCCUGAUCCAGCCAUGCCGCGUGAGGGAAGAAGGCCUUCGGGUUGUAAACCGCUUUUGUUCGGGAAGAAAUACUCUGGGCUAAUACCCCGGGGGGAUGACGGUACCGGAAGAAUAAGCACCGGCUAACUACGUG